CGUUACUAAACUAGCGCUCCAAGCGCACUACUCUAGCGCUCCAAGCGCAGCGUUCCAAACGCUUUUCUAACGUCCCAGACGUUACUAAAAGGGCAACUUUCCUCCUUUUAGUUUUCAAACAGUAGUGAUAUCAGAGUAAUUGGGUCGUUAUGCCCCCACCACAGAUCCCACCAACACAAGCUUCUACUAACGGUUCUCCCGUCAGCGGUGCUGGCCCGGUAUCUGAGGCAGUUUAAAUUCCUCUGAUGUACACUAUCAAUACAGUUUAUUAGUAUUAUACACACAAUUA